GACUUUCCAGAUACGAUUAAGUUAAGAAUUUUGAAAUGGAGAAAUUAUCCUGCAUUAUCUGGGUGGGUCAGAUGUAAUCACAAGAGUCCUUUUAAGACAGAGGUGGCGGAA